rnacentral:siRNA from 1 species
AAGACCUGCCGGUCCUCCGCCGA